rnacentral:piRNA from 1 species
UCUUGGGUUUCUUCGGUAGGGGUCCAGG